rnacentral:rRNA from 1 species
GAAUUUAAUAUAAUUUUACAAAAUUUAUUAAAUAAUUUUAAUGAUAUUAUGUAGAUUUAUAUUUAGUUGGGAGGAUUAUUAAAUUAAUUUAACUUUAUUGAAUUAAAAUACAAAAAUUUUUGGAUUUAUGAUUUAAGAAUAAAUAUAAGAAUUAAUUACCUUAGGGAUAACAGCGUAAAAUUUUUAGAGAGAUCAUAUUAAUAAAAGUGUUUGC